rnacentral:rRNA from 1 species
CCCUUAGAUGUUCUGGGCCGCACGCGUGCUACACUGAGUGGAUCAGCGGGUCAGGUUGCGCGAAAGCGUUUCCUAAUCUUUAAAUCCGCUCGUGAUGGGGAUUGACGGUUGCAAUUUUCUGUCAUGAACGAGGAAUACCUUGUAAGCGCGGGUCAUCAUCCCGCGCUGAAUACGUCCCUGCCCUUUGUACACACCGCCCGUCGCUCCUACCGAUUGAAUGGCUUAGUGAGCCUUUGGGAUUGGCAGCUUGUACCGGCAACGGUAGCAGGCAGCCGAAAACUUAGGCAAACUUGGUCAUUUAGAGGAAGUAAAAGUCGUAACA